rnacentral:rRNA from 1 species
AGAUUGAACGCUGGCGGCAGGCCUAACACAUGCAAGUCGAGCGGUAGAGAGGUGCUUGCACCUCUUGAGAGCGGCGGACGGGUGAGUAAUGCCUAGGAAUCUGCCUAGUGGUGGGGGAUAACGUUCGGAAACGGACGCUAAUACCGCAUACGUCCUACGGGAGAAAGCGGGGGACCUUCGGGCCUCGCGCCAUUAGAUGAGCCUAGGUCGGAUUAGCUAGUUGGUGAGGUAAUGGCUCACCAAGGCGACGAUCCGUAACUGGUCUGAGAGGAUGAUCAGUCACACUGGAACUGAGACACGGUCCAGACUCCGUACGGGAGGCAGCAGUGGGGGAAUA